UACGUAGGGUGCAAGCGUUGUCCGGAAUUAUUGGGCGUAAAGAGCUCGUAGGCGGUUUGUCGCGUCUGCCGUGAAAGUCCGGGGCUCAACUCCGGGAGGCGGAUGGAUACUGCUUGGCUCGAGUCCGGAAGAGGCGAGUGGAAUUCCCGGUGUAGCGGUGAAAUGCGCAGAUAUCGGGAGGAACACCAAUGGCGAAGGCAGCUCGCUGGGACGGUACUGACGCUGAGACGCGAAAGCGUGGGGAGCAAACAGG
rnacentral:rRNA from 1 species